UCUAGAACAUUCUGGCAACUACGAAUUCGCUAACUAGUUGCUUCUGGCAGUUUAUCGUUGAUUCGAUUUUGUUCUAUCAUCCGUGUUCGUUACAAUAUUUUACUACCUUUUUGUUAUCGAUCGCUACUGGGAGUUAUUGUUUGGGUAAAUUGCUGUUAUGGAAAGGGAAAACAAUUUCUGUGAAGAAAAUGUCGAGCCCAUGGCGAAAAAAAUUAAAACAGAGUGGGUUAAAAGCUAUUCUGAUAAGGCCCUGCUUAUGAUGACUAGAAUGGGUUAUGAAAAGAACAAAGGUCUUGGGAAGCAGAAUCAGGGUCGUCUUGAACCUAUUAUAGCUGUACAACAGGAUGGCAGAAAAGGAUUGGGUUUGAAAGAUGAGUGUCCAGUGUCCGUGGAAGCGUGGGACAGCACUAUUGAAAUAAUAAACCUACCAGAAAGUUAUUCAUGGAUAACAAAUAAUGCGGAGUUCGAAAUAACGUUGGACGAUUUAAAAGAGAAUAUGAUCGUAGGUCCUAGUAAACGAACAAUUGAUGAUGAAUGUUUAUACUGCAGUUCAGACAUUUUAAAUAAUAUAUUAAAAGCAAAAUCUGAAUUUGACAAAUUAAACGACAGCGAAUUGAGAAGAGCACGAUCACGGUCUAAUCCAUUUGAAACAAUCCGUAGCUCUAUAUUUUUAAAUAGAGCUGCUGUUAAAAUGGCGAAUAUUGAUUCUAUGUGCGAUUAUAUGUUUACAAAUCCUAGAUAUGUGGACGGGACAUCAAUGCUGCAAAAUAACGAACUUUUAUAUUUUGCCGAUAUUUGCGCAGAUGUCCUCAAGCGAUCAAAUCACUGGGGCCAGUCACCUUUUUUUAGACGCUCACUUGAGUGCUACGAAACAACAAAUUUCAACAAAAACAAAAAGACAAAUAAUUUUUUUGUACUCUCUGAAAUUAUAUAUAACAAAAUGAAACUGAUUGAAUUUUAUUUUUUUCGAAAUAAAAUAUUCACGUUACCAGACUACUGCCUUUAUGAUGUCGGCCCUAAUCGGUUCCGCUUCUCAGUCAUAAUGUUAUCUGCCAAGGAAAAAGCUCUAUCCGAUUUUGCUAGAAUUUAUAAGGCUGGUUUAGAUAAGCAAGGGUACACAAAAAAUAGACUCCAAGGUUGCCCUGGAUAUCUCAGCCAAUUUUGAUGGCUUCAAGUGAAGUGAAAUUGUGGAAUGUGCUCUUAUUUUUAUGAUAAUUGCAUAUCUUAUAUUUUGAUCAAUUAUCGGCUUGCUAGGCUGUGUGACAAACGGUAAAAUUUUUCUCUAUGGUGAAAAAUUGUCUGUGGUGUAAACAAAUAUUACAUUUUGCUGUGCCAAAAAUUUUGACACUUGAAGUUCAAAAUAAACCCAACUACGUCGAUUAGGUGUUUGCCUUGUUACUUAAAUUAUUAAAUAUAUUUGUAAACCAGAAACCAGAAAAAUUCAUUAAUUUGUAGAUUUGUAAUUAAUUGAAAAUUUAAGUCAACGGGCUAGACUACUACGACGCUACUUGCAUUGAUAAAUCGGUACAGGGCCCGGUGGUUUCUCAGAAUACAUACUUUACAGGAAAUCUUGGGAAGCAAAAGGAUUUGGAUUUACCUUACGUGGCCCAAAUGAUUUCAAAUUAGAUAAAUUUUUUGCCGGUUCACCAGAAUCAUUCGACACUUACUACGGAACUCUUUUGCAGAUUACGUACUAAAGCAUUGUGAAUCUGGUGUUCAUUUCGUUAUGGCAGAUGGAGGAUUUUCAGUUGAGGGCCAAGAAAAUAUCCAAGAAAUUCUUUCUAAGCAACUGUACUUAUGUCAAUGUUUAAUGGCAUUGAAAAUCCUUCGGGUUAAUGGCAGUUUUCUUUGCAAAUUAUUUGAUUUAUUCACGCCAUUUAGUAUAGGACUGAUAUUUUUAAUGUAUAAAUGUUUUGAUCAGAUAUCUAUAUUGAAGCCUAAUAGUAGUAGACCGGCAAAUUCAGAGCGUUAUUUAGUUUGUAAGUGGAAGAAAUCAAAUACUGAUUAUGUUUGUAAAUACUUGGACCACGUCAACGACAUUUUAAACUUGGGUAAAGAAGAUGUUUUAGAAAUUGUCAACCAACAACACAUUGUGUCUGAUCAAAUUUUCUUAGAUUAUAUUGUUAAAAGUAAUAAUGACAUUGGACAAAACCAAAUUUUAGGUUUGAAAAAAAUUGCAGCAUAUUGCAGAAACACCCAGCUUAAGGAAACUAGGCAGUCGGAAAUCAGAAAACGUUGUCUUGAACUGUGGGGACUUCCAGAUAAGCUUCGACAAGCCCCAGAGUCGAAAACCCAAGAGAAAUUUCUGGAAGAAAUUCUAGGUGAUUGGAAUGAUAAGUUAUUUUUUAACUCUUUGCCUACAGAAUUACAUACUACAGAAUGCAUCCAAAAUAACAUUAACAGUAUAUAUGACUGGUAUUUUGUGCCAGUUGGACGGGCCGAAACUAAUAUUAAUGCUUGUAGUAUGUUUCUAUGUAAGUCUAAAGGUUGUUUACUACGAUAUAGUGACAGCAAAAAAUGGGAUCCCGUGGAAUAUAUAUUUGACAUAUCACCGAAAUCAAUAUUUUAUGGCGAAAUUGUUUACGAGUAUACUGGUGAAGGUAGAACUCAAACCAGAAUAUGCUCUUUACACAUCAUAGAUGCGAUCUUGCUUGGAGGAGUAGAUAUACGACGCUUAAAACUUUCAGAACGUUCUCGGUUAUGCCAAAAAUACUCUCUUAGUCUAAAUAAGCCAUUCAAAGACGGCAAUUGUAGUCCUAUUCGCAGCAAAUGUUUAUAUGAACUAAAAUAUUUAAAUAAUUUUUUUAACGACAUGAGGUCACAUGUUUUGAAAGACAAUUCAAACCGCCUAGGUUUAACUUUGUCAUCUGAAAACAAAUUUUUUGUUCCUGGGGGUAUUAUGUUGUUUUGCGAAAUUUUUCAUAAUUUUUUCUCAAGUAUGUCCCAUUCAACUCAUAAACUGUAUUAUUUCAAUAAGACGACAAAAACAUCUUUUUACAAAAAUUGUAUGCCAAAUAAUAUACUAAAUACUUUGUACGCUUCAUUUAGAAAUAGUUAUCAGAGACGAUUACUGUGGAAAUGGACAAAUUUAAAGCAAGUUGAAGAAAAAUGUAAUAAUCGAGAAAAAAAUUUGCUCUACCGAGAAGAUUUCACUACAUUUAUAUUCAGUAAAAAAAAAAAUUGAAAAAUAAAUUGUAUAUUAAGCUUAAUAGUAACUAAAUGAAAAUCAUAUAAAAGUGUUAUAUUGUGACAUCUAUACCUAAAAUAUUUUGCUUAUAAGCCCAAGAAAAUCUGCCUAUGUAUACUUUUUAAACUAUUUCAAUUUAGUGUAUUUAACAAGGAGUGCAUUUAUUUAACGACUUGUAACUAAACCAUUUGCAGAUUUCUUUACUUUAACCCGCUUGUGUUUUUUAUACUCAAAGUAUUAUUUUGAACAAACUGCCUCUAAAGCCGUUUGCCUUACUAAAUGAUAAAACGAUAAGUAUAAAGGUACAUGUUAAUACAAAAUUGCAUCGAGAGUACUUAAUACCAAAAUAAUUGUUAAAGGCGUCCGAUAUGUCGUCAAAUUCCGUUACUCAAUUCAAAAAUACUACAUUUGAAUUUAACUCUGGGAGCGAAAUAUUGUAACUAUGCAACUCUAGUUGUAGGGUAUAAUUCAUUUAAAUUGCUCAUUUACUUUCAAUAUUUUUUGUGCAUUAGAAAUUUAAGAUUUAAAUAAUGGAAAGUUUAUGGAAUCUGAGCAUUGAUAAAUAAAAUACUUGUCAACAAUAAAUCAGAAAGCAAGAGCGAGCCUAUACAAUAAAACCAAUUUGAAUUUAAGAAUAAUCAACUUGUUUUUUACACUGCAAACAAAGUAUAGAAAUUUGUGUCCGACUAUAUUAGAUAAAGAUGCACCUCGAAGUCAAAGCUCGCACAACUAUGUGUGCUUCUCAAAAUGCAACUAGAUUGGCAAGCAAAGUUACACAAAACUUUUAAUACUAAGAAAUAAGAUUCGAAUUUUAUAUUGUACAAGGAAUCAAACAAAAUACACGUAACACCAAUAUUUUAUUUUUGAUUGAAAUAUGUAUAUUUAACUAUUUAAAUUGCAACCCUGAUUUUGUAAGAAUGUGUAUGUGUAUAGCGACUAAUGUUAUUGAUAUGUAAUUGAAUCUUACUUCCUCAUUAAACGUUGAUUGAAAGUCACAA